UCCAUGAUGUUGAUUAUGACAAUGGUGGUGGUGAAUAUGGUUAUGAUGAUAAAUUGAUAAUAUUGGACUAUGUUGUUGAACAACAGAUUAUGAUGAAGAACGUAGCAUUGGGAUAUGCAUGUUGGGUGGAAUGGCUUUGAUUCAUGAUGAAAGUCAGGCCCUUGAUUGAGUGGAAUGGCCAUGGGAUAAGGCUUAGAUGACGACGACGACAAUGAUGACCUCUGCUGCUAUUGGAUUUUCUACUUGAAGUUCUGAAUAUAUGAGUUGCUCUUCUAUUCUUCAUAUGCCCAGUUGGUUUGCUGUUCGCUAUGGGCUUCUAUCCUUCAAUCCUUCAGCUCAUGGGAGUGAAUUUCGUGGUACUUUGCUUGUCAUGAGCAGUGGGGUUUUGCUGGGCAGUAUCCUAUCAAAUUCCAAGGUUUUUAAAGUUGUAGUGCAGAAUUGCAGGCCAGUAACAGCCCCAAGGAUCUGUUCUGAUUUCGAUUGAUUCAUAGAAUUUGGUUGUUAUAAUGAGAUGGGCUGGCCCCUUGUGCUAUUUGUAUGGGCUGCUCAGAUGUCAGACAGUCUUUCAGUGAUUCAUGGGUUCAUUUUGUAUUCGAAUUGAUGCAGCUGGAGCUGGUUUCUUUCUUCCUCUUCUCCUUCUUGCUUCUUUUCUUAUUGUUUUUUUUAGUAGCUCAGCGCAGAUGAUGUCCAAUGUGAAGGUCUAUCUAUGCAUAAGCGGCUAGCUGUUGCUGUCUGCAUUGGAUGGUUUAUUUUGCAGUGGAUUCAUUGAUGGAGAUCCGGUGCUGGCUGGUAGCAACUUGAUUUUGGUCCAAGUUUUUGUGCAUUCAUGGCCUUCUGAUGUUGGUAUGGUCAUGUAUUGGAUAUGGGCAAUUUGUCUAGCUUUGAUUAAUCAAAGUAGGUCACUUGUUUAUGCAUUGUCAGUUUGCAAACUUCAUGUAAGAAGCUUUUCCGAUGUCCUUGGUGUAGGUUUAUAUUCUGGGCUGGUAGCAUGUGGAAUUAGGUGCAAGCAUGGGGAAGAAAAAUACUCAUUCUUACUAUCAUUUUACAAUUAAACACAACUGCUGUGGCUGCCAGUGACUAACUCCUAGUUAACAAGUCAUAAGUAGUGAUAGAUGAUUCAAAAUGACUCAAUCUCACAUCAGUUUGCUCUGCCCAUCUGAUUGCUCUAGGGAACUCUGCAUGGCCCACUUCAAUGGCGAUUGGAGUAGAUUGAUCUCGAAGAGAUCCCAACUUCUCAAGCACCCUUAUGAGUCCAAUCAUGAACUGUUCGUGACGAAUGCAUACGGCUUUGUGACUCAAUUCAGCUCACAUCUGUGCCAGCUUUGUAUUGCUUUCAUCAUUCCUAAUGCAUGCAUAGACCAAAGAUGUUUCUGAUUUGAGUGUGCAUUUGCAUGCCUCCAACAGAAUCCAUGAAGCCUAACAGAAAAAUUCCAAGCAAGCUGCAUGCAUAUAACAAAGUGCACCCUCCAACAGAAUCCAUGUACCCUAACAGAAAAAUUCCAAGCAUAUAACAUCUAA